GGAUGAAGUUAUAUGUUCAGGUGGCUGGGGGAGCAGCUUACCACACAAGGUGGCCUGUUGGAAACAGCCUGGCUUUGCUUUCAGGACUACUUUAGAGCUCCCCUUUGACAGCCAUGGUGGCUGCAAUGGCUAAACAGCAGGAUAUAUACAAAUGAGUCAAGCUACUGAGAAUUCAAAGUUGCAAUUUGCUAUACAGAAAACCCAAAAUGAGGCACCAUAUGAAGGAAAGGACAAGACAAUUCCUGUGUAAUGAUUGGAGCAGAGGCUUUUACCAGAAUACAGUGAUUGUUAUGUUGGUCCUAGUGGCCCUUUCCACUAAAACAAGCACCUUUUUUGCAACAUCCAGAUUAAUUAACCCAAACAAAUACAUGGAGGUAUGUAUGGGCAGUAUCUCAGGCCUCAGGCCAUCCAUGUGGCAGAAGUGGAGAUGGUGGAGGAGGCACAGCC